UGUUCAAAGAUUGCAAGCUAUUAGUUUGAAAACUUCACAAGAUAUUAAGUUAGAAAAACUAAACAUAUGCAUAUGUGUAUAUAUUAAGUCAAAAGUCAUUCAUGGAAUCAUGCUAUAAUAUAUACAUGGUGUGUGUGUGUGUGUAUAUAUAUGCUUGUUUGGAUAGAAGGAAAGUGGAAGGAAAAUGAAAUUGCUUGAACACUUUCAAUUUUGGGUUUUUUUUUUUAAAUCUCUAUUUUGCCCCUUUCGUUUUCACAGAUCAAUGAUUGUUGGGAUGGAUCAUGGAUGAUACAGACGACUGGAUUGGGUUUGGGUCAUUCACAGAACUGGACAGACCAAUAACUGCAGUGGAGCCAGGGGCAUUGAAAGCCACAAGCCCGCAUUAUUCUGUGAAGGAAACCGAACAUCACCAUUCAAAUUUCUGCAAAGAGAAUCGCCAAUUUGAGGAGAGGAUUAUGGCAUGAUUGGGGAAUAACCGAGACCUCAGUCUGUGAGUCCCCAAGAAAAGGCGUUUGGCUCAAAGAAGGAAUUGUUGCUUUGCAAUUCAAUACUGUUGCUGCUUCCAUUGCUGCUACUGCCAUUGUUACUGAAGGUGCCGCCACCAUUCCAAUUCAUAUCAAAG